rnacentral:rRNA from 1 species
UACGUAGGGGGCGAGCGUUGUCCGGAUUUAUUGGGCGUAAAGAGCGUGUAGGCGGCCAGAUAGGUCAGCUGUGAAAACUCGAGGCUCAACCUCGAGAUGUCGGCUGAAACCAUCUGGCUAGAGUCCGGAAGAGGAGAAUGGAAUUCCCGGUGUAGCGGUGAAAUGCGCAGAUAUCGGGAAGAACACCCGUGGCGAAGGCGGUUCUCUGGGACGGUACUGACGCUGAGACGCGAAAGCGUGGGGAGCGAACAGG